rnacentral:rRNA from 1 species
UACGAAGGGGGCUAGCGUUGUUCGGAAUUACUGGGCGUAAAGCGCGCGCAGGCGGCUCUUUAAGUCAGGGGUGAAAGCCCAGAGCUCAACUCUGGAAUUGCCUUUGAAACUAGAGAACUUGGGUACGGGAGAGGUGAGUGGAAUUCCGAGUGUAGAGGUGAAAUUCGUAGAUAUUCGGAAGAACACCAGUGGCGAAGGCGGCUCACUGGCCCGUUACCGACGCUCAGGCGCGACAGCGUGGGGAGCAAACAGG